AGUUUAGUUUAGUUUAGUUGAGUUAUAAUAUGGGGAAGCACUGCCCUUAAUAUUUUCCCAAAUAUGUUUUGUUUGAUAUUUUUGUAACCACUUGAUCAAAGGCAUGAAAUCUAUCCAAUUGACAGAUCACCAUCCUUUUAAAUGUUGAAAGGCCAACUAUAUUGUAGAAUUGAAGUGUGGAAUUAAUACAUUAAGAUUUUCGUUAAAAGUAAAGGUGUUUUUGGUUUAAGGAGCUUUUGCAAAAUGGAUGAUGCUUGAUUGAUCUCCCCUACAAUUUACCCUGGAAACAUCAUAGCUUAUGAAGGUUGUAGUUGCAUAUUUAUUGCCCAUGAUUUUUAAUUAAUUGUAAGGAUGAAAAAAUAAAAUUUAAAAACCAAUUUGAGAAAAAGGGAGGUCAAACAAACCAAAUUGUUUGGUUUUGGCUUUCUUUUGUUGAAUUAGUAAGAAUUAUUAAAUUUUUUUAGUUAAAAGACAGAUCUCAACCAAUCUUCUGAACAUGGAUUUAAAUUUGAACCUAUAAAUUAUUUGGUUGAAGAAAGAUGUGACAGAGAACAACAGGCCAGUUUUUCACAAUUUGAUAAUACUCUAAUGUGGAAGUCAAUUGGGGCCAUCAAGUUAAAUGAUAGAAAUUCUUGUGUUAUUUAGCCUGAUAUAAUCUUUAUGUGUUAUUCAUGUGGAAAUUUAGCUUGUUAAACAUACAUUUUAUUGUCCAUUUUUGUUCUUUUUUUCCAGAACUUUGUGGGUUUGUCAGUAU
rnacentral:misc_RNA from 1 species